UACAGAGGGUGCGAGCGUUAAUCGGAAUUACUGGGCGUAAAGCGGGUGUAGGUGGCUCUAUAAGUCAGGAGUGAAAUCCCCAGGCUUAACCUGGGAAGUGCUUUUGAUACUGUAGAGCUUGAAUGUGGGAGAGGAUAAUAGAAUUCCAGGUGUAGUGGUGAAAUACGUAGAUAUCUGGAGGAAUACCGGAGGCGAAGGCGGUUAUCUGGCCCAACAUUGACACUGAGACCCGAAAGCGUGGGGAUCAAACAGG
rnacentral:rRNA from 1 species